AGCGAACGCUGGCGGCAGGCCUAACACAUGCAAGUCGAACGAACCUUUCGGGGUUAGUGGCGGACGGGUGAGUAACACGUGGGAACGUGCCUUUAGGUUCGGAAUAACUCAGGGAAACUUGUGCUAAUACCGAAUGUGCCCUUCGGGGGAAAGAUUAAUCGCCUUUAGAGCGGCCCGCGUCUGAUUAGCUAGUUGGUUGAGGUAAUGGCUCACCAAGGCGACGAUCAGUAGCUGGUCUGAGAGGAUGAUCAGCCACAUUGGGACUGAGACACGGCCCAAACUCUUAGGGAAGGGGGCAGGGGGAAUUCUGGCGCAAUGGGGAAAAGCCUGACGAACCUAGCCCGGGGAAAUAAGAAGGUUGUAAGGAUAAAAAAUUUUUUUCACCGGGGCCUAUAAGGAGGUACCCCGAAAAAGAGCCCCGGGCAAGGUUCGUC
rnacentral:rRNA from 1 species